rnacentral:rRNA from 1 species
CCUACGGGUGGCAGCAGUGAGGAAUAUUGGUCAAUGGGCGCGAGCCUGAACCAGCCAAGUAGCGUGAAGGAUGACUGCCCUACGGGUUGUAAACUUCUUUUAUAAAGGAAUAAAGUGAGGCACGUGUGCCUUUUUGUAUGUACUUUAUGAAUAAGGAUCGGCUAACUCCGUGCCAGCAGCCGCGGUAAUACGGAGGAUCCGAGCGUUAUCCGGAUUUAUUGGGUUUAAAGGGCGGGUAGAUGGUUUGUUAAGUCAGUAGUGAAAGUUUGCGGCUCAACCGUAAAAUUGCAGUUGAUACUGGGUGUCUGGAGUACAGGUGAGGCAGGUGGAAUGCGUAGUGUAGCGGUGAAAGGCUUAGAGAGUACGAGGAA